GUGCCAGCAGCCGCGGUAAUACGUAGGCAGCGAGCGUUGUUCGGAGUUACUGGGCGUAAAGCGUGCGUAGGCGGUUUUGUAAGUUUGGUGUGAAAUCUCCCGGCUCAACUGGGAGGGUGCGCCGAAAACUGCAAGGCUGGAGUGUGGGAGAGGUAGGCGGAAUUCCUGGUGUAGCGGUGAAAUGCGUAGAUAUCAGGAGGAACACCUGUGGUGUAGACGGCUUACUGGACCAUGACUGACGCUGAGGCACGAAAGCGUGGGGAGCAAACAGGAUUAGAUACCCCAGUAGUCC
rnacentral:rRNA from 1 species